AAAAUUCUCAGGAUCGUGAAUAUGGCCUCAAUUUUCUCCAAUUCUAAGUAUAUAAAAAGAUAUAGGGAUUCGAAUUUUGAGGAUCAUGAACUGAGUUGCUUCGAUUUGAACUCAAAGCAACUCAAUCUUGUUACCUACAUUGGUAGGACUUUAGCCAACCAAAAAACAUAAAGAAUGGUGAAGAAUUGAGAGAGAAUCA
rnacentral:lncRNA from 1 species